rnacentral:rRNA from 1 species
UACGGAGGGAGCUAGCGUUGUUCGGAAUUACUGGGCGUAAAGCGCGCGUAGGCGGCUUUGUAAGUUAGAGGUGAAAGCCCGGGGCUCAACCCCGGAACUGCCUUUAAGACUGCAUCGCUUGAAUCCGGGAGAGGUGAGUGGAAUUCCGAGUGUAGAGGUGAAAUUCGUAGAUAUUCGGAAGAACACCAGUGGCGAAGGCGACUUUCUGGUCUGUAACUGACACUGAGGCGCGAAAGCGUGGGGAGCGAACAGG